rnacentral:rRNA from 1 species
UUGUUCGUGAAAUCUCACGGCUUAACUGUGAGCGUGCGGGCGAUACGGGCAGACUUGAGUACUGCAGGGGAGACUGGAAUUCCUGGUGUAGCGGUGGAAUGCGCAGAUAUCAGGAGGAACACCGGUGGCGAAGGCGGGUCUCUGGGCAGUAACUGACGCUGAGGAGCGAAAGCGUGGGGAGCGAACAGGAUUAGAUACCCUGGUAGUCCACGCCGUAAACGGUGGGUACUAGGUGUGGGUUUCCUUCCUUGGGAUCCGUGCCGUAGCUAACGCAUUAAGUACCCCGCCUGGGGAGUACGGCCGCAAGGCUAAAACUCAAAGAAAUUGACGGGGGCCCGCACAAGCGGCGGAGCAUGUGGAUUAAUUCGAUGCAACGCGAAGAACCUUACCUGGGUUUGACAUGCACAGGACGCCGGCAGAGAUGUCGGUUCCCUUGCGGCCUGUGUGCAGGUGGUGCAUGGCUGUCGUCAGCUCGUGUCGUGAGAUGUUGGGUUAAGUCCCGCAACGAGCGCAACCCUUGUCUCAUGUUGCCAGCGGGUAAUGCCGGGGACUCGUGAGAGACUGCCGGGGUCAACUCGGAGGAAGGUGGGGAUGACGUCAAGUCAUCAUGCCCCUUAUGUCCAGGGCUUCACACAUGCUACAAUGGCCGGUACAAAGGGCUGCGAUGCCGCGAGGUUAAGCGAAUCCUUUUAAAGCCGGUCUCAGUUCGGAUCGGGGUCUGCAACUCGACCCCGUGAAGUCGGAGUCGCUAGUAA